rnacentral:rRNA from 1 species
UACGAAGGGUGCAAGCGUUACUCGGAAUUACUGGGCGUAAAGGGUGCGUAGGUGGUUGUUUAAGUCUGUUGUGAAAGCCCCGGGCUCAACCUGGGAAUGGCAAUGGAUACUGGACAGCUAGAGUGCGGUAGAGGGUAGUGGAAUUCCCGGUGUAGCAGUGAAAUGCGUAGAGAUCGGGAGGAACACCAGUGGCGAAGGCGGCUACCUGGACCAGCACUGACACUGAAGCACGAAAGCGUGGGAGCAAACAGGG